UAGGGUAGCCAAUAUCUAUUUUAAUCUGUCAGGAUCCCAUCUCCCUGCGCCUCUUUCUCCUCUCAUCCCGCGAGACCUCCAUGGUCCAUAGAUCGCAUCUACCUUCUCCUCUACACCUAUCCGCGUUGCAGCCCUCACCUCGCCGGUCUCCUGGACCAUGGCUUGUCCAUGAUGCUUCCUGCAAGUCAUCGAUAGCCUCGACCACGGUGCGGCUGCACUGCCGCCAGUAGCCUCGACCCUGGGGCGCCCGUGCUGUCGCCUGCACGUCGCCGGUCGCCUCGACGCCGGUGUGGCCAUGCAGCCGCCUGCACGUUGCUGGUAGCCCCGCCCCCGGUGCGCCCGUGCUGUCGCCUGCAUUUCAUCGGUCACCUCGAUCCUGGUGCGGCCGCGCUGCCGCCUGCACGUCGCCCGUAGCUUCGACCCCGAUGUGCCGGCGCUACCGCAUUUUCAUCUCCAUUCGCUCCGCUGCUGCAGGAACAUGAUAUGAGUGAGCUCAACAAAGGCUUUUUGGCACUAUCACAUGGUCCAUUGGAAAACGUAACAUGUGUUACUGGCUAUGACAGAAAUAGAUUCAGAUGUCGUGUUCAAAUUCAAGUUAGACUCCUAUGCACACAUACCAGUGGGGUGGCUGUCCUUUCAGAAGAAGGGGAUAAUAAUUGGUAAUGCAGUAGAAUAUUAUGGGAUAUUGACAGAGAUAGUCGAGCCGCAAUAUUUAGAUGGAAGGCGUGUGACAUUAUUCCAUUGCAACUAGAUUCACGUAUUUAACAAAGAGCAUGGAAUGAAGUAAGACAACAAGAAUGGAAUCGUUUGGCUUAACCUGCAGCGUUUGCUUCAGACAAAUGAGCCUUUCAUUCUGGAUAGCCAAGUUUUUGUUAUCACAGUGAGUCAUCAUAGGUAUGGAAACUUGACAACAUUAGCUUGGGAAAGAUGCUACCACAGAUGAAUAAGUCUGGACUGGUACACAAAGGUAUUGCUAGGCAGACCUUCACAGAGAAAUCAAGUCAAUUAGCAGAUUUCAGCAGAAAAGGGUUACCGACAGGCUCAAACGCAAGAUGCGGAACUGUGAAAAAAGUACAAGUUAGCUACAAAAGAUGGAAAUGAUGCCCAAACAAAUACACCAAUCUUGUUUAGUAUAAAUUGGGAUGAAGGUGGUUCCAAAAGUGAGUUUCUAUGAAUGAUCAAGUUGAUGCCAGCAAUGAUAAUGACAUGGGAAAUUAAAUGGAUGAAUUUUAUGGUAAUAAAAAUCUGGAAAGUGAAGAAGUGUAGGGCAACCAUGGCCUUGCAAGGAGUUUUUGGCACAAACUAAGACCAUAGUUUAACUCGAAGAAAAGUUCAAUGGCACGGUGUAAGAAGUUUCCGAAAUUAAGCGACUUGUGUCUGGUAGACUCUAAGUGAGAGUUCUCAUGAAAGCCAACAUGAUCAAGAUUGAUGGUCCACCGUGAUAUAUAGAAGUAGCAAUUAUCAGGAGGUGUUGUAAGAGCUGAUGAAGAAUGAUAUGCAUUCAAACAAUGCUGGUGUUCCUCGAUUGAACAUAAAUAAAUAUUAUAUUUUAUAGUUGUCUCGUUUUCUAGAUAGAUAUGAUCAAGUCCAUUGGUCCUAUAAGGAUUGCUUUUGACUCAAAUUUCUCAAAUGAUAUUUUUUCAGAAUUGUAUGUCGGAAUAUUGGUAUUUCCAUCUAUUAAUGAAAGAGGCUAUGACCCUUGCAAUUCA